UAAAACACCCCACUUCUGAAAGUUGACCUCGGAUCAGGUAGGAAUACCCGCUGAACUUAAGCAUAUCAAUAAGCGGAGGAAAAGAAACCAACAGGGAUUGCCCUAGUAACGGCGAGUGAAGCGGCAACAGCUCAAAUUUGAAAUCUGGCCCUAGGCCCGAGUUGUAAUUUGCAGAGGAUGCUUUUGGCGCGGUGCCUUCCGAGUUCCCUGGAACGGGACGCCAUAGAGGGUGAGAGCCCCGUCUGGUCGGACACCAAGCCUCUGUAAAGCUCCUUCGACGAGUCGAGUAGUUUGGGAAUGCUGCUCAAAAUGGGAGGUAUAUGUCUUCUAAAGCUAAAUACCGGCCAGAGACCGAUAGCGCACAAGUAGAGUGAUCGAAAGAUGAAAAGCACUUUGAAAAGAGAGUUAAAUAGCACGUGAAAUUGUUGAAAGGGAAGCGUUCAUGACCAGACUUGGCCCGGUUGAUCAUCCAGCGUUCUCGCUGGUGCACUCUGCCGGUCCAGGCCAGCAUCAGUUCGUCGCGGGGGAUAAAGGCUUCGGGAAUGUAGCUCCCUCCGGGGAGUGUUAUAGCCCGCUGCGUAAUACCCUGCGGUGGACUGAGGUCCGCGCUCUGCAAGGAUGCUGGCGUAAUGGUCAUCAACGACCCGUCUUGAAACACGGACCAAGGAGUCGUCUUCGUAUGCGAGUGUUCGGGUGUCAAACCCCUACGCGUAAUGAAAGUGAACGCAGGUGAGAGCUUCGGCGCAUCAUCGACCGAUCCUGAUGUUCUCGGAUGGAUUUGAGUAAGAGCAUACGGGGCCGGACCCGAAAGAAGGUGAACUAUGCCUGUAUAGGGUGAAGCCAGAGGAAACUCUGGUGGAGGCUCGCAGCGGUUCUGACGUGCAAAUCGAUCGUCAAAUAUGGGCAUGGGGGCGAAAGACUAAUCGAACCUUCUAGUAGCUGGUU
rnacentral:rRNA from 1 species